ncrna:unclassified sequences L2-Alphaproteobacteria ribosomal protein leader
GGCCACCUUCGGGGGGCUACAACAUAGGCGGGCAUGACCCGCUGCAAGCAAACGGAAGACAGAAA